UUUUGGGUUGUAUAAACAGUUGUGUUUUAUUAUUAUUUGGUUCACAGUUCACCAGAGACCUGAAGCAAUAUGACAAUAAGAUCGUCGAAUGCACCUUUGUCAACAACAGCUGGAUAUUCAUGAGACAAAGAGUUGACAAGAGCUUCCCCAACUCUUUUGACACAGCCAUGGCUGUGUGUCGCUCCAUUCAGCAUCCUAUCACAAAAGAAAUGCUUUUGGAGUUCCUGGAUAGCUGUACACAGGGAGUACAAACCCCGAACCAAAAACGCCCAGCAGACCCAGACAGUGAACUCAUGCCCCCACCCCCUCCGAAGAGACCAGGCCAGGCCAUCCCAUAGCCUGAUGGUGGACAGCCGGCCCCCCUACAGAUGAGAUCCAGACAUUUCUUACCCUCUGAGUAUUUGCUCUGCCAGCCUUUAUGGACUGAAAUGUCUGAAGAUGUCAGAAACCCCACCAGAGUCCAUCAGCAACAUCAGAUUUACUUGUAGGUUUCUUUGUAGCUUUAAUUACUGGUGUUCUUAUUAA